AGAGGAAGGAGAAGAUGGCCUGCUUGGGUGGCUCGUCGUCCUCUUCGUCCUCCUCCAUGUCGUUGGCGAGGUGUUCGGAGGACUCAGGCCCACAGGGGCCAGGGCAGAGAGUCGGGAAGCAGAAUACUCACAGAGCUAUGAAGAAAUGGAUGCGCCUGUACUGCCAGGAGAAGAGGCCGGCUCUGCUGAGGUAGGCGACGACCAUGGCCAGCAGGGGCUGCAUCCUGGAUGAGCUGGGUCUGUUCGCAACCCGAGUUUCCAUGAGUGCCAGCAGGUUCCUUGGUCAUGCUCAGCUCAACCCCUGGACACCAUAACUCUUGAGCAAUCCAGCACCUGCCAGGUUUGCACCCUGGGUCUCUCUGCACUCCAGUGCAGGCCACGCCUCCCGCUCCAAGGCCCUUUGCAGGUGAAGAGUCAGUCACCAUCAGUGCUCAGUGUCCAGCGAGGGAGUCAAGGGACCACCACCCCAUGGCGCACCAAGACCACGUGACAGCACGCCAGACGGGACAGAAAAUCCAGCAUGCAUGGUGGAGGAAAGAAGACUGUUUUAUUACACGUCCCCAAGAGGUAUAGUUCAUGUUCUCCCUUCACAGACAGACCACGGUCCUCAUUCAAGUUCAAGGUGUCAAGGCCAGAUGAAACUGACAACAGAAUCGUGGCGAAAGUCACUAACAAACACCCAUAUCUCCACAAACA